rnacentral:rRNA from 1 species
UAUGAAGGGGGCUAGCGUUGCUCGGAAUUACUGGGCGUAAAGCGCACGUAGGCGGCUUCUUAAGUCGGUGGUGAAAUCCUGGAGCUCAACUCCAGAACUGCCUUCGAUACUGGGAGCUCGAGUCCGGGAGAGGUGAGUGGAACUGCGAGUGUAGAGGUGAAAUUCGUAGAUAUUCGCAAGAACACCAGUGGCGAAGGCGGCUCACUGGCCCGGUACUGACGCUGAGGUGCGAAAGCGUGGGGAGCAAACAGGG